UAUAGUACAAUAAAUAACAUAUUUUAUAAAAAUACAUACAUCAAAGCGUAUUUCAGUGCUUCAAAAAUUUAAGAUGCCAUUAUAACGCUUUGUGAUUGAUUUAUAAUAUUAUAAGACAGUACUUAAAAUAAUCUUACAUGUAAAAAACCAACUAGGAAUGAUGACCUAUAAGUUUGUAUGUGACUAAACAUGAAAAAUUGUUUCUUGAAAAAUUUAUAAUGAUUAUUCAAGAAUAAUGUUUUGAUAUAUUUGUCAGAAGAUCGUACUACAUUUAAAAUCAUUAUUCGUAAAAAAACAUCAUUAUUAUUUAAUUUGAUUUUGUUUCUAAUUUUAGAAAAUAUUAAGCAACACAAAGGAACAUCUUUUAAAAGGCUACCAUUAUGAUAUUUUCAAACCUUGGUUAGGGACUGGAUUACUAAUUAGCGAAGGGGUCAAAUGGCACAAAAGGCGAAAGAUGCUAACACCUACAUUUCAUUUUAAAAUAUUAAAACAGUUUGUUGAAAUUCUGAUCGAA
rnacentral:lncRNA from 13 species